rnacentral:lncRNA from 1 species
CUUUUUCAUUUAUGCCAUUUUUGAGCCAAAGUAUUUAUCAAAUGACAUUUAUUUUCAUAUGUGGCAUUAGAAUGGAGAUAACUGUAUUGUAUUUUAAGCUUGGCCUUCGUAAAACUUGAUUUUACUGUCGCAAAUAUCCGUUUACCUAUCUCCGCUCCGCGUCGCUAGGUAAACUCAAUUUGCGACAGUAAAAUCUACGUUUUACGAAGUCCAAGCUUAAAAUACAAUACAGUUAUCUCCUAAAUUUAACUUUUUAUAGUUGAUACUUCUAUAGAUGUCACUCAAAACAAGGUGUAUGAGCAAUAUUCUUGCUAGUAUUACCUGACACGAUC